AGAAAUUUAGGUUAAUAAUUUAAACCAAGGGCCUUCAAAGCCCUAAAUACGAGUCACCACCCUCAUAAUUUCUG
rnacentral:tRNA from 1 species